CGUUCUCUGAGUUGUUUGUGACUGGCUGAUGUCCCUGAGCCGAUAAUUCUUUACAUCAGGGUUUCUUCUCCAGCGCUAUUGUGCAAGCCCGGCCCGUAUCGGGAAGCCUGCGGUGCUGAUUAGUUUCCCGCCUUGAACCUCUGGUUCAAGGGCUUACGCCGGUCACGGCAAUUCGGAGAACAC
rfam:Rheinheimera sp. F8 genome.